rnacentral:rRNA from 1 species
AGAGUUUGAUCCUGGCUCAGAUUGAACGCUGGCGGCAUGCCUUACACAUGCAAGUCGAACGGUAACGCGGGGGCAACCCUGGCGACGAGUGGCGAACGGGUGAGUAAUACAUCGGAACAUAUCCAGUAGCGGGGGAUAACCUAUCGAAAGAUGGACUAAUACCGCAUACGAUCUACGGAUGAAAGCAGGGGACCGCAAGGCCUUGCACUAUUGGAGUGGCCGAUGUCGGAUUAGCUAGUUGGUGAGGUAAAGGCUUACCAAGGCGACGAUCCGUAGCUGGUCUGAGAGGACGAUCAGCCACACUGGAACUGAGACACGGUCCAGACUCCUACGGGAGGCAGCAGUGGGGAAUUUUGGACAAUGGGCGCAAGCCUGAUCCAGCCAUGCCGCGUGAGUGAAGAAGGCCUUCGGGUUGUAAAGCUCUUUCGGUGAAGACGAAACGGUUAGCGCUAAUAACGCUGACUAAUGACGGUACUCACAGAAGAUGCACCGGCUAACUACGUGCCAGCAGCCGCGGUAAUACGUAGGGUGCAGGCGUUAAUCGGAAUUACUGGGCGUAAAGCGUGCGCAGGCGGUUUGCUAAGACAGGUGUGAAAUCCCCGAGCUUAACUUGGGAAUUGCGCUUGUAACUGGCAAGCUAGAGUGUGGCAGAGGGGGGUGGAAUUCCACGUGUAGCAGUGAAAUGCGUAGAUAUGUGGAGGAACACCGAUGGCGAAGGCAGCCCCCUGGGUUAACACUGACGCUCAUGCACGAAAGCGUGGGGAGCAAACAGGAUUAGAUACCCUGGUAGUCCACGCCCUAAACUAUGUCAACUAGUUGUCGGGGAAGAAAUUCCUUGGUAACGAAGCUAACGCGUGAAGUUGACCGCCUGGGGAGUACGGCCGCAAGGUUAAAACUCAAAGGAAUUGACGGGGACCCGCACAAGCGGUGGAUUAUGUGGAUUAAUUCGAUGCAACGCGAAAAACCUUACCUACCCUUGACAUGCUAGGAAGCCCGCAGAGAUGUGGGUGUGCCCGAAAGGGAACCUAGACACAGGUGCUGCAUGGCUGUCGUCAGCUCGUGUCGUGAGAUGUUGGGUUAAGUCCCGCAACGAGCGCAACCCUUGCCAUUAGUUGCUACAUUUAGUUGGGCACUCUAAUGGGACCGCCGGUGACAAACCGGAGGAAGGUGGGGAUGACGUCAAGUCCUCAUGGCCCUUAUGGGUAGGGCUUCACACGUAAUACAAUGGUCGGUACAGAGGGCUGCCAACCCGCAAGGGGGCUAAUCCCAGAAAGCCGAUCGUAGUCCGGAUUGUAGUCUGCAACUCGACUGCAUGAAGCCGGAAUCGCUAGUAAUCGCGGAUCAGCAUGUCGCGGUGAAUACGUUCCCGGGUCUUGUACACACCGCCCGUCACACCAUGGGAGUGGGUUCCACCAGAAGUAGUUAGCCUAACCGCAAGGAGGGCGAUUACCACGGUGAGAUUCAUGACUGGGGUGAAGUCGUAACAAGGUA